GGCGGCACAGCGAACUUGUUCACUGGCGUGGCGUUGUGUCGGAUCGAGCGUCAUGAAGUCGAAACCUACGUCAGAAAGUCAAAACAGUGUGUCUCUCCCAGAAAAUCAAGGAAGUAUGAACAUCUGGUCCUGGAAGAACCAUAUGAGGAUUGGAUACCAUAGUUUACACGGGAUCUCUCUGAUUCACACCAAGAACUUCCAUUAUUCAAAACUAGUGAGCGGAUCAUGAAACCCCAUUAUGAUCCCCAAUUUAAUGAUGUUCAGAAGCAGCAGAGACAGCAAAAAUGGCAGCCUCAUUUCUAGGAAUAGAGCCAAGCUCAUUAAACUAAUAAGGGAUGUAAAUGGUACAAAGACUGCUUUUUCUGCAUCAGGCAUCAAACUCUAUAACAACUCAUCAAUAAGUAUAAAGCCACCUAGCUUAGCACACCUAAAGAUGCAACAUUAUUGUAAUGGAUGCUUCAACUCAAUUACUCAAGGCCUCAACACCACAGGCCAUGCACAAAAACCUCCUUUCCAACUGUGGACUGUCAAAUCUAAAUGAGACUUUUCUGUCUGUGCAGGGGCCUGCAUCAUUCUGGAAAACCCUCCAAAGAGCUUUACAGAGGUAAAUGGCCCGGCAGUUUCUAUUAUGGGGGUGUUUUACACUUCAUAUCUUUGUUGCUUUCUCUGAAGAUGAAUACCUUGGGAAAUUGUGUCGUCGAAGAGUUUGUUUUUUCUUUGGAGACCUGUUGGUAUGAAAUGUUAUGUUCCCCCAGUAAGCUUCCUAUUUUCUUUAACCUUCAAGAGUGUUACAGAACCAGGUUAUCAAAGCCACCGUUAGCCCGUCUCAAUCCUUCCAGCUCUGAGCAAGGUAAACAUUGCGCCCUGUGAUUUCACACCUUUGCAGCCAUGCUUCCCUAGUGCGAGUAGGGAAGUGACAGGCAGCUUUCAUCCUUUGCCAUGUCCUGCCUCUUCAAAACUUUCUUCCACCUCUUACUACUGCAGAGGACAUAACUGCCUUGGCUGAGCAAAGGUAAGACACCCGUGCUUUACUGGUGUAGUAAGUGUGGAACAAAAGGGUGGCCCCCAAAUCCGUGGGAAAGUCCUAAAAGGCAAAGUUACAUGUUCUGAAGCAGGAGCUAUAGUCAAAUCUGAAACUAUCACCUUUUCUUUCUGGCCCACUUUCCAGAGCUAGCAUGGAUAAGUAUUCAAAUACCUUCCAAAAUCUUCUCUAAGUAUACUGGCAACCCACAUCCCCUUUUCAAUGCGUUUAGGAGCCCAAAUCCCAUUGCCUUUCAAUGAGACUCCUAAGUGCAUAGGUUCCUUUUGGAAAAUGAAUUUCAGGCUCUUAAAUCACUUAGGUGUUUAAGUGUUGCGGUCUGCGGGGAAGAGAGUAGACGUGAGUGACCUUCCUUCUGUGAGAGACCUACACCAGGUUCACAGGUAUGGUUUGGUGACUCAUUUUCUCGGCAUGUUGAGCUAACUGGUCUGAGGCUGCCUCCAGGCGAGCGCGGCUGUGCGGUACGGGGCACUGCAGACCUGUUUG